ensembl:lncRNA
CCUCCCUUCAUUUCCCUCUCCCUCCGCUCUCUGACACACUCAAACACGCACACAUGCCCUCCUCCCCCAUGCUGCAGUGUCUCAACUGCCUUGGAGCAAACCAGAGAGGAAAUAGAACAGACAAUAAUAAGAGAGACGAGAAAGAGGGGGAUAUAAAGAGAGAGAGUAUGAGUGGAAGAAAGAGUGUGUUAUAGGAGAAUGUUGGACUAAGAGUGGAUUGCACACUGCUUAUCUCUCCCAUGCGAGUGUUUGUCUGCAGUAUCCCUGGUGAACGGACCCUGGACAUUGAAACGUUUGGACCGACUCUCCUUCAUCACCACUAGAAAACCGUUACAGAAUCACCCACCACCAACGGACCAAGCAGCGUGUCAACAGGCAGGAGCAGCAGGAGAGGCAACAGGUGCAGCAGGAGAGGAGGCAACAGGAGCAGCCCAAAAAGGAGAACAGUAUGGACUAUACUUCUUGGGAGGAGAUAGACAGGUGGGCGGUCGACCCAGGGAGAGUGCCGGAGCCCGCCUGGGAUUCGAUGGAGCAGUGCGCAGAAGGUUAUCGGAGAAUGAGGUUGGCGAAGCAAGCACGGCGGCGCGGACGGAAGCCCGAGAGUCAGCCCCAAAAAUUUAUUGGGGGGGGGGC